rnacentral:rRNA from 1 species
GACGAACGCUGGCGGCGUGCUUAACACAUGCAAGUCGAACGGAAAGGCCCUGCUUUUGUGGGGUGCUCGAGUGGCGAACGGGUGAGAAACACGAGUGUAACCUGCCUUUGACUUUGGGAUAACUUCAGGAAACUGGGGAUAAUACCGGACAGGAGCUCCUGCCGCAUGGUGGGGGUUGGAAGGUUUCGGCGGUUGGGGAUGGACUCGCGGCUUAUCAGCUUGUUGGUGGGGUAGUGGCUUACCAAGGCUUUGACGGGUAGCCGGCCUGAGAGGGUGACCGGCCACAUUGGGACUGAGAUACGGCCCAGACUCCUACGGGAGGCAGCAGUGGGGAAUAUUGCACAAUGGGCGGAAGCCUGAUGCAGCAACGCCGCGUGCGGGAUGACGGCCUUCGGGUUGUAAACCGCUUUCGCCUGUGACGAAGCGUGAGUGACGGUAAUGGGUAAAGAAGCACCGGCUAACUACGUG